GCAUUGGUGGUUCAGUGGUAGAACUCUCACCUUCCACAUGGGAGGCUCAGGUUCGAUUCCCCACUGAUGCA
rnacentral:tRNA from 1 species